GACGAACGCUGGCGGCGUGCUUAACACAUGCAAGUCGAACGGUGAAGCGCCUUCCUUUUUGGUGGGUGUGGAUGAGUGGCGAACGGGUGAGUAACACGUGAGUAACCUGCCCCCUUCUUCUGGAUAACCGCAUGAAAGUGUGGCUAAUACGGGAUAUUCUGGGUCUGUCGCAUGAUGGGUCUGGGAAAGAUAUUGUUUCGGUGGGGGAUGGGCUCGCGGCCUAUCAGCUUGUUGGUGGGGUGAUGGCCUACCAAGGCGGUGACGGGUAGCCGGCCUGAGAGGGUGGACGGUCACACUGGGACUGAGACACGGCCCAGACUCCUACGGGAGGCAGCAGUGGGGAAUAUUGCACAAUGGGCGCAAGCCUGAUGCAGCGACGCCGCGGGAGAGAUGGAGGCCUUCGGGUUGUGAACCUCUUUCGCCAGUGAAGCAGGCCUGCCUCGUUUGUGGGUGGGUUGACGGUAGCUGGAUAAGAAGCGCCGGCUAACUACGUG
rnacentral:rRNA from 1 species